GAUGAGGCCUUUGACUGAAGAAGAGACCCGGGUCACGUUUGAGAAGAUCGCGAAGUACAUUGGAGAGAACCUGCAACUCCUGGUGGACAGACCCAACGGCACGUACUGUUUCCGGCUGCACAACGACCGCGUGUACUAUGUGAGUGAGAUGAUGCUGAAGCUGGCCGCCAACAUCUCCGGAGACAAGCUCGUGUCGCUGGGGAUGUGUUUUGGGAAGUUCACCAAGACCCACAAGUUCCGCUUGCACGUGACAGCCCUGGAUUACCUGGCCCCCUAUGCCAAGUAUAAAGUGUGGGUAAAGCCGGGAGCAGAGCGGUCCUUCUUGUAUGGAAACCAUGUGCUGAAAUCCGGUCUGGGGCGAAUUACUGAGAACACGUCUCAGUACCAGGGAGUGGUGGUCUAUUCCAUGGCGGACAUUCCUCUGGGUUUUGGGGUGGCAGCAAAGUCUACCCAAGAGUGCCGAAAAGUGGACCCCAUGGCAAUUGUGGUGUUCCAUCAAGCAGACAUUGGGGAGUACGUACGCCAUGAAGAGACAUUGGCUUAG